rnacentral:rRNA from 1 species
AUCGAACGCUGGCGGCAGGCCUAACACAUGCAAGUCGAGCGGAUGAAGGGAGCUUGCUCCUGGAUUCAGCGGCGGACGGGUGAGUAAUGCCUAGGAAUCUGCCUGGUAGUGGGGGAUAACGUCCGGAAACGGGCGCUAAUACCGCAUACGUCCUGAGGGAGAAAGUGGGGGAUCUUCGGACCUCACGCUAUCAGAUGAGCCUAUGUCGGAUUAGCUAGUUGGUGGGGUAAAGGCCUACCAAGGCGACGAUCCGUAACUGGUCUGAGAGGAUGAUCAGUCACACUGGAACUGAGACACGGUCCAGACUCCUACGGGAGGCAGCAGUGGGGAAUAUUGGACAAUGGGCGAAAGCCUGAUCCAGCCAUGCCGCGUGUGUGAAGAAGGUCUUCGGAUUGUAAAGCACUUUAAGUUGGGAGGAAGGGCAGUAAGUUAAUACCUUGCUGUUUUGACGUUACCAACAGAAUAAGCACCGGCUAACUUCGUG